rnacentral:lncRNA from 10 species
AGUUAGAUCUUGGAACUGAGUCCAGCAGCACUGAGGUCAGAGAGAUGGCUAAAGCUAAAAGCAAACUGGAUGCUGUUCAGGAGGUUCUCCUUUGUCAUUUUUAUCUCCAAAUAGAAGACCUCUGUUUUCCCAGAAGAUUAAAUAGUAGAAAAGAAGUAGCCCAAGCCCUGGACAACUUUCAGGAAGACAGUUCUGGUCUGUAGCAAUUAACACAUGGUCAUCCUCAGAAAAAGGUCCUCUCAAUUAUUUCCCAGAGAUACCCAUAACUUAAAAUGCAGGAACCAAGAGAUUUGAGCCUAGACAUUUGGAUGAAAAGCGAUUUCCACCUGGAGAAAGUCACUGCCCUUCUGUGCAGAGUACCAUUGUGUCUUGAAUCCAGCUUGGCCAUAAGGAAAUGGGGCGAGACUUUGUCAUGUAUGUCGCUGAAGUUCAGCUAUGCAAAAAUGUUCACCUAUCCUUGAUCAACCAGUCCAGGAACCAUCAAAGAAGAAAAUGAGAUUCGACUUAGAAGACCUGUUCUUUAUAAACCCCUGCACAGCCCUAAUGAUCAACACCACUUCCAGUGCUCAUAAAUUACUGCUUCAAUAAUUGUUCUGCAAUUCUGCCUAUUCUCAUUGAAUGCUUCGUAUAAUCCCUUUAUUUACUUUGGGCUACGAUUCAUUUUUAUCAGUGAGUAUUGUACUUGUUUCAUCU